UACGUAGGGCGCAAGCGUUGUCCGGAAUUAUUGGGCGUAAAGAGCUCGUAGGUGGUUUGUUACGUCUGCUGUGAAAACCUAGGGCUUAACCCUGGGCCUGCAGUGGAUACGGGCAGACUAGAGGUAGGUAGGGGAGAAUGGAAUUCCCGGUGUAGCGGUGAAAUGCGCAGAUAUCGGGAGGAACACCGGUGGCGAAGGCGGUUCUCUGGGCCUUACCUGACACUGAGGAGCGAAAGCGUGGGGGAGCGAACAGG
rnacentral:rRNA from 1 species